CUUCCCUUUUCCUCGUUGAAUUUAGCCGCCAGAGAGACUACGGAACUCAGGAUAGGUAGGUCCGUAGGGAGGGGGGCUUUCACCUAAGCGGUGAUCGAGAAGUGUCAGGGAGAGACGAAAGAGAGAAUCGAUCGAGAAGUGGAAGAGAGAGUACGGUUUCGAAUCGAUCGAGCGGGAAGCGGGAGAC